rnacentral:lncRNA from 1 species
AUUCAUUACUAGAAGGAAACUCUUUUAGAAUUAGUGACGCAUGGUGGGCUGCCAUGAGGAGCCCCCUGACCCCCUUCCCCCAGGCCAUGGCCUAAUAAAAUAAACUGUCUAUUGUUCUCACAGCAUAUCAUUUAAUGAUGAAGACUUUAGAACAAUGCUUACGGGCCUGAGAAUUGUAUUUGAUUAGCCCAUUCAGUUUGAUAGCCCCAAUGCUGAAAAGCACAGCAGGAUCAUGGCAGUGCAAGUUCAAAAGUAAGUUCAGUCAUUUUUGUGAUGACUUGCCCUGGUAGAAAACAGAUCAUCUCAGCCAAGCUCUUCAGGUCUCCAACCUAAUAGGUGAACAAAUUCACCUCACAGGACACACAGUAUUUUUUUAAGAGCAGACUUGCUCUCUUUUUUAAAAUUUUUGCCAGUGAAUGAGCAGCUCUAGCUGCAUAAGUUACACACUGUGGGUAUUCCUGCCUGCCUCUUGAAUACAAAAGCCUAGUUCAAGUGUUGCUUUUUUUAAAAUCAUUUUUUUUCUCCCUUCCCUUUGAGAUAAAACUCUUUAAAAAGAUCCUACUCUCUAUAUAAUCUCAAAUCCAUUUUGGCCUCCUUCUCUUUUUACCAGGAAGUAUCUUGUGACUAAGGGCCCCCCUCUUGCAGGUCUUGCACGCCCCUCCCCUCCCCAGAACUGCAGAGCUACAGGAUGGUGAAGGUCACCCAAGGGCAUCAGUAGGGGGUGGCGUCUCCAGCCCCUGGCUCCAUGGCACUGUUCAACUUUCCUUGCGUUGCUUUGCAGCCCACCCCUCACAGUGCCUCUGAAGUGUUUCCUCUGGAGUAACAUGAGCGUUUGAGGGCUUGUCUAAGGAGAAGAAAAGAAUAAGGCAGUGAAGGAGACUGUACAUAAAGACAUGGCAAAAAUCGUAAUUAUAGCAAUAUAGUUAUGGGGUAAUGUUCGGGUGGGCAGCUCCAUUUAAAAAAAAAUAUGUGAAUGAAUCUGUGAAGCUGCGAGUAGCAAGAAGAGCGAAAGGUCUUCUUCACAAACCGCCUACCUUGUAGACAGUAAUUUGUACACUGUAUAGUUUUGUUAGGAGUUAUUUCACAGAUUCCUGUGCUUGAAAAGCAUAGGAUACUAAUCCUUU